rnacentral:rRNA from 1 species
GUGCCAGCCGCCGCGGUAAUACGAGGGGAGCUAGCGUUAUUCGGAAUUACUGGGCGUAAAGCGCACGUAGGCGGCUUUGUAAGUUAGAGGUGAAAGCCCGGGGCUCAACUCCGGAAUUGCCUUUAAGACUGCAUCGCUUGAAUCCAGGAGAGGUGAGUGGAAUUCCGAGUGUAGAGGUGAAAUUCGUAGAUAUUCGGAGGAACACCAGUGGCGAAGGCGGCUCACUGGACUGGUAUUGACGCUGAGGUGCGAAAGCGUGGGGAGCAAACAGGAUUAGAAACCCGCGUA